UCAGAAGAAGCCAGGAUUGAAGAUCAAGAAGAGAGAGCUCAAUUGGAGAGGAACAUGAGAGAAAGAGAUGCAGCUGCAACUCGGAAGUUGACAGAACCAAAGUUAACGAAGGCGCAGGAAGAGGAGAUUAUUCGAAGAACUCAAGCAUCAGAGAAAAAUGAUACUUCAGAACUGAGAAAAGUUUCAAGGCAAGUUUAUUUGCAAAAGCGGAGAGACCAGAAGCUUUUGGAGAUUCGGGAUGACAUUAUAGAUCAUGAGUAUAUAUUUGAGGGCGUGAAGCUGACUGAAGCAGAGGAACGUGAGCAUAGGUACAAAAGAAAAAUCUACGAGCUUGCAAAAGAGCACUUGGGGGAUGUGGACAAUAUUAAUGAGUACAAAAUGCCUGAGGCAUACGACAUGGAGGGACGGGUCAAUCAAGAGAAAAGAUUUGCUGCAGCUAUGCAGCGUUACAGGGACCCUGAGGCUGCAGAGAAAAUGAAUCCAUUUGCCGAACAAGAAGCCUGGGAGGAACACCAAAUAGGAAAGGCAACCAUAAAAUUUGGCUCAAAAGAUAGAAAGCAAGCUGCUGAUGACUAUCAGUAUGUUUUUGAGGAUGGGGUUGAGUUCAUCAAAGCAUCUGUCAUGGAUGGAACUCAGUUUGAAGAUGAAUUAUCUUCCGGGAAUGAUGACUCUUCAGAUGCAAAAACCAUGUUGGAGAUGCUGCAGGAAGAUAGGAAAAGUCUGCCUAUCUAUCCUUACAGAGAGGAGUUACUUAAGGCCAUCCAAGAUCAUCAGGUUCUUGUUAUUGUUGGAGAGACAGGCUCUGGAAAGACUACUCAGAUACCUCAAUAUCUUCAUGAAGCUGGGUAUACAAAAGCUGGGAAGAUUGCAUGCACACAGCCUCGCCGUGUUGCUGCAAUGAGCGUGGCCGCGAGGGUGUCCCAGGAGAUGGGUGUUAAACUUGGGCAUGAGGUUGGUUACUCAAUUAGGUUUGAGGAUUGCACCUCAGAAAAGACUGUACUUAAGUACAUGACAGAUGGUAUGUUGUUGAGGGAAUUCCUUGGUGAACCAGAUUUGGCUAGCUACAAUGUUGUGAUGGUGGAUGAGGCUCAUGAGCGAACACUAUCAACUGACAUAUUAUUCGGGUUGGUGAAGGAUAUUGCUCGUUUUCGAAAAGAUCUCAAGUUGCUUAUUUCGAGUGCGACCCUGGAUGCGGAGAAAUUCAGUGAUUACUUUGACUCUGCCCCAAUUUUUAAAAUUCCAGGGAGGCGAUACCCUGUCGAAAUACACUUCACGACAGCACCGGAAGCAGACUACAUUGAUGCUGCGAUUGUUACAGUUCUUCAAAUACACGUGACCCAGCCACUUGGUGACAUCUUAGUGUUCCUUACAGGGCAGGAGGAAAUUGAAACAGUCGAUGAAAUCCUUAAGCACAGAAUAAAAGGUUUGGGCACAAAGAUAGCGGAACUUAUCAUCUGCCCGAUUUACGCCAACCUCCCCACUGAGCUGCAAGCAAAGAUUUUUGAACCUGCACCUGAAGGUGCCCGCAAGGUUGUUUUGGCUACUAAUAUAGCCGAAACAUCGUUAACAAUUGAUGGAAUAAAAUAUGUUGUCGACCCUGGAUUUUGUAAAAUUAAAUCAUAUAACCCUAGAACUGGGAUGGAGUCUUUGCUAGUGAAUCCAAUCUCAAAGGCAUCUGCAGAGCAAAGGGCUGGUAGGUCUGGGCGUACUGGACCUGGAAAAUGUUUUCGCCUUUAUACUAAGUAUAAUUACGAUCAUGAUCUCGAGGAGAACAGUGUUCCAGAGAUUCAACGGACGAAUUUAGCGAACGUUGUGCUCACUCUUAAAAGUUUGGGUAUUCAUGACUUGGUCAAUUUUGAUUUCAUGGAUCCUCCCCCAUCAGAGGCAUUGCUUAAGGCUCUUGAGCAACUAUUUGCUCUUAAUGCGCUGAAUAGCCGAGGCGAGUUGACUAAGACUGGGAGAAGGAUGGCUGAGUUUCCACUGGACCCCAUGCUUUCAAAAAUGAUAGUUGCUUCGGACAAGUACAAGUGUUCUGAUGAGAUCAUAUCCAUUGCGGCGAUGUUGUCGGUUGGAAAUUCGAUAUUUUAUCGUCCAAAGGACAAACAAGUUCAUGCAGACAAUGCAAGGAUGAAUUUCCACACUGGGAAUGUUGGAGAUCAUAUUGCGUUGCUUAACGUCUACAAUUCCUGGAGAGAAACUAAUUACUCGACCCAAUGGUGCUACGAAAAUUAUAUUCAGGUAAGAAGUAUGAAAAGAGCUAGAGAUAUUCGUGAUCAAUUAGAGGGACUCUUGGAAAGAGUUGAGAUUGAGCUCACUUCAAAUGCUAAUGACUUAGAUACCAUUAAAAAGGCAAUAACAUCAGGUUUUUUCCACCAUUCUGCGAAGUUGCAAAAGAAUGGUUCUUAUAGAACCGUCAAAAACCCCCAAACAGUAUAUAUACAUCCAAACUCCGGACUAGCACAGGUGCUUCCGCAUUGGGUGAUAUACCAUGAGUUGGUUCUCACAACGAAGGAGUUUAUGAGACAGGUUACGGAACUGAAGCCCGAAUGGCUUGUAGAAAUCGCGCCACACUUCUAUCAGCUUAAAGAUGUCGAUGAUUCCGGAGCGAAGAAAUUACCUCGUGGGACAGGUCGUGCUGCAUUGUAGGAGCUUUCAAGUUCUGUUCGGGCCUAUUUGCCGCCUCAAUUCUUAAGCAACUGACACAACCUUGCACUAACUGUUGUUUAUUCCUUCCCUGUCCUGGCCAGUAAAAGAAUUGAUCAUUUCUCUGAUAAUUUGGCCAUAUUCCCGAAGUGUGAAGUGCAACAACCCAUUCUCCAUAAGACUCCUUCAGCUUGGCUUGUUCGUAGGCCAAUGAUAAGGUACAAGGGUGAGGCAUUACAAGCAUGACUUCUAGUUCCUUAUAUCCUUUCACCCAGCUGUACGCAAUGCAAGCUUCUUCCAGGCUAGAGUUUCGAAGCAGCAUUUGGAUCCUUGAGUCCUCAAUUCUCUCUUGAUAUACUUCCAUUGGCCUUUUUUGUAUGCGCUUAGUGAGCCCUUCAACAAUACUAGUUAAGCCUAGGCUAUUAACUCUCUUGCAAUCUUCUGUAGUAAUCGCCUUCGCCAUUUCUUCAAUUCUAAUCAUUGCAGAUUGACCCAGCAUACCUUGUGUUUUCCGAUGGAUUACCUUUUGUAACCUACUUGUCAUGAUAGACUUGUGAGAGGCUUCUCCUUCAAUGCUGUGAAGUGUCACCGUGUUAGGUCCUGGAUCAAAAGGCACUUGCCUAUAUUCCUUCAUCCAAUCGAUUCCAAGCACUAUGCCAGAGCUUUUGAGCCUCAAUUCUCUUGAAUCAGCCAAGAAUUCGUAACCUGGCUUCUUCCUUGCAAACUGAGGGCAAGAAUCUUUGCCCAGCACCUUGUUCGCAGGGUCUGCUAUCACUAUCAAGGGUGCAACAGCAUUAAACUCAACUCUGGUAGCUUUUGCAAUCCUGAAGUCAAUGAGGCUAUGUAGGUUUCUAUCAUCAUUCAAAUGUAAUGGGGCUUGGUUAUCUGACUCCAUGAUACUUAUAGCCUCAUAGACCUUUCCUUCUUCUACUUGUUGUAGCUCACAUCUUUUUUCUUUUACUGUUUUAGAUUCAGCACCCAUUUCCCCUUUUUCAUAUGCUGGUAACAUACGCAGGGAGCUAUCCUUGCAUUGCUUUCCCGUAAUAUACUCCUCUCCGUAUCCAUAGCAUCUCCCAUGCAUCGUUGUUCGCUUACUUGUAGCAGGCCAUUGUGGGUUUGGUUCUUCUUCACUUUCUUGCAGCUUAUGAGUUCCUAGCGGAGGUUCUUCACCAUUGUUUGCUCGGAUAGGAGAUGGAAUGAUGUUAUCUCUAAGUUGGCUUCUAUCUGAACUUGAAUGCUCUAUGUUGCGUGUUUCGACACUUGGAAUUGGCUUGGUAGGAGGUGGUUGAGUUGCAUGCAACCUCAGCAAUCCCUCAGCAAUUUAACCAAUUGUAUCUCAACUCUGGAAUUAAAAUUGGGGAGCAAAACUUGAUUACCUGAUGCCUGCAAGGUGUUUGAUGAAAUUCCCCUUCACUGGCCCAAUUUUAACUAUGAUACUACCAAGAACCUGUUGCUUCUAUGACCCCUCUAUCAAUUUGAUUCAAGUAGCAAUGAUAAAGAUUCUUGUGAUGUUUAUCAGGUUUGAUCCCUUAUCAACCAAUUCUUGCAUGCAUGCAAUCAAUGAUUCAAAAGGAUGCAAAGAUUUCUACAAUACCUGAUGUUAUAGCUUUAUAAAAUCAAAUCGCCUCUCAACUAGUUGCAAUCUGAUACCACUUUGUUACCGUAGUGGCAAUGUCUCCAGUCGCUACUGAUUCUUCCAAUUAGAUCUGAUGCUACCACUUGAGUUCUUGCUCCAGGUACUACUCGAGAUCCAUUACUACAUUCUUGUGAUAUCCCACCAUGAUGCAAGUAUCAGUUUCAUCCCUUCCCUGGGAUCGAAACUGCUUUGAUACCAAUUGUUAUGUACCGGAUGAUUUGGGGAUGAUUGGGAGGUGAGUUUGUGAAGGAAAAGGAGAGGUAGAGAAUCAGAGAGAGAUAGGGAGUGAGAUUGGGAGGAAGAGAGUAGGGUUUUAGAAGAAUUAGAGGAGGGUUUUGGGGAAGGAGAAGAGAAAGGACUGGAGAAGAAGAGGAUAAUUGGGGAAGAAGACAAGCUAAUUCAUUUCCAUUACUUCUUGCAAUUACAUCCUGUUACCUAUAUAUACCCUAUACAAUUUGUACUGAAAUGUAAUGAAUCAACUCUUCGAGGGCUUUA